GAUGAACGCUGGCGGCGUGCCUAAUACAUGCAAGUCGAGCGAACUGAUUAGAAGCUUGCUUCUAUGACGUUAGCGGCGGACGGGUGAGUAACACGUGGGCAACCUGCCUGUAAGACUGGGAUAACUUCGGGAAACCGAAGCUAAUACCGGAUAGGAUCUUCUCCUUCAUGGGAGAUGAUUGAAAGAUGGUUUCGGCUAUCACUUACAGAUGGGCCCGCGGUGCAUUAGCUAGUUGGUGAGGUAACGGCUCACCAAGGCAAGGAUGCAUAGCCGACCUGAGAGGGUGAUCGGCCACACUGGGACGGAGACACGGCCCAGACUCCUACGGGAGGCAGCAGUAGGGAAUCUUCCGCACUGGACGAAAGUCUGACGGAGCAACGCCGCGUGAGUGAUGAAGGCUUUCGGGUCGUAAAACUCUGUUGUUAGGGAAGAACAAGUACGAGAGUAACUGCUCGUACCUUGACGGUACCUAACCAGAAAGCCACGGCUAACUACGUGCCAGCCGCCGCAGUAAUAC
rnacentral:rRNA from 1 species